rnacentral:rRNA from 1 species
GACGAACGCUGGCGGCGUGCUUAACACAUGCAAGUCGAACGGACAGGCCCUGCUUUUGUGGGGUGCUCGAGUGGCGCACGGGUGAGUAACACGUGAGUAACCUGCCCUUGACUUUGGGAUAACUUCAGGAAACUGGGGCUCAUACCGGAUAGGAGCUCCUGCUGCAUGUUGGUGAUUGGAAAGUUUCGGCGGUUGGGGAUGGACUGGCGGCUUAUCCGCUUGUUGGUGGGGUAGUGGCUUACCAAGGCUUUGACGGGUAGCCGGCCUGAGAGAGUGAACGGCCACAAGGGGACUGCGAGACGGAGCAGACUCCUACGGGAGGCAGCAGGCGGGAAUAUUGCAGAAUGGGCGGACGCCAGAUGCAGCAACGUCGCGUGCGGGAUGACGGCUUUCGGGGGGUAAACAGCUUUCGCCGGUGACGAAGCGUGAGUGACGGUAAUGGGUAAAGAAGCAACGGCUAACUACGUG